GGCGCGUCUGGACCUGGAGGAGGAUACCGCCUUGCUGAGUUAUUCACCCUUGUCUUUAGGAUACUUCUUGUUUCCUUGGGGGGUUCGCCCACCACUAAGACAAACAUAAACCUUUUGUAAUUGCAAUCAGCGUCAGUAACAAAUUAAUAAUUACAACUUUCAACAACGGAUCUCUUGGUUCUGGCAUCGAUGAAGAACGCAGCGAAAUGCGAUAAGUAGUGUGAAUUGCAGAAUUCAGUGAAUCAUCGAAUCUUUGAACGCACAUUGCGCCCUUUGGUAUUCCAAAGGGCAUGCCUGUUCGAGCGUCAUUUGUACCCUCAAGCUUUGCUUGGUGUUGGGCGUCUUGUCUCUAGCUUUGCUGGAGACUCGCCUUAAAGUAAUUGGCAGCCGGCCUACUGGUUUCGGAGCGCAGCACAAGUCGCACUCUCUAUCAGCAAAGGUCUAGCAUCCAUUAAGCCUUUUUUUCAACUUUUGACCUCGGAUCAGGUAGGGAUACCCGCUGAACUUAAGCAUAUCAAUAAGCGGAGGAA
rnacentral:rRNA from 1 species